rnacentral:rRNA from 1 species
UUGACCUGCCCCGAAGUGUGGGAUAACAGUCCGAAAGGAUUGCUAAUACCGCAUGUGGUCAUUGGAUUUAGAGGCCGAUGAUUAAAGGAGUGAUUCGCUUCGGGAGGGACCUGCGUCCCAUCAGCUAGUUGGUGAGGUAACGGCCCACCAAGACGUCGACGGGUAAGGGACCUGAGAGGGUGGUCCCUCACAAUGGCACUGAAACACGGGCCAUACACCUACGGGUGGCAGCAGUAGGGAAUAUUGGGCAAUGGGCGAAAGCCUGACCCAGCAACGCCGCGUGCACGAUGAAGGCCUUCGGGUCGUAAAGUGCUUUUCUGGGAGAUGAGAAAGGACAGUAUCCCAGGAAUAAGCCUCGGCUAACUACGUGCCAGCAGCCGCGGUAAAACGUAGGAGGCAAGCGUUAUCCGGAUUUACUGGGCGUAAAGCGCGUGUAGGCGGUUCGGCAAGUUGGAUGUGAAAUCUCCCGGCUCAACUGGGAGGGGUCGUUCAAUACUACCGAACUUGAGGGCAUCAGAGGAAGGUGGAAUUCCCGGUGUAGUGGUGAAAUGCGUAGAUAUCGGGAGGAACACCAGUGGCGAAGGCGGCCUUCUGGGAUGCAUCUGACGCUCAGACGCGAAAGCUAGGGGAGCGAACGGGAUUAGAGACCCCGGUAGUCCUAGCAGUAAACUAUGUAGACUUGGUGUCGGAGGUGUCAAAACCUUCGGUAUCGUAGCUAACGCGAUAAGUCUACCGCCUGGGGACUACGGCCGCAAGGUUAAAACUCAAAGGAAUUGACGGGGGCCCGCACAAGCAGCGGAGCGUGUGGUUUAAUUCGAUCUACACGAAGAACCUUACCCGGGUUUGACAUGUUGGUGGUAGGGAUCCGAAAGGUGACCGACCCGCAAGGGAGCCUUCACAGGUGCUGCAUGGCUGUCGUCAGCUCGUGUCGUGAGAUGUUCGGUUAAGUCCGCUAACGAGCGCAACCCUCGCCACGUGUUACAUGUGUCACGUGGGACCGCCGGUAUCAAGCCGGAGGAAGGUGGGGAUGACGUCAAGUCAGCAUGGCCUUUAUGUCCGGGGCUACACACACGCUACAAUGGUCGGUACAAUGGGUCGCUAAGCCGCGAGGUAGAGCCAAUCCCCAAAGCCGGCCUCAGUUCAGAUCACAGGCUGCAACCCGCCUGUGUGAAGUCGGAGUUGCUAGUAAACGCGCGUCAGCUAUAGUGCGUUGAAUACGUUCUCGGGCCUUGUACACACCGCCCGUCACGUCAUGGGAGCUGGUAACACCUGAAGCCGGUAGCCUAACCGUAAGGAGGGCGCUGUCGAAGGUGGUGCUGGUGACUGGGACGAAGUCGUAACAAGGUA